rnacentral:rRNA from 1 species
GUGCCAGCAGCCGCGGUGAUACAGAGGGUGCAAGCGUUAAUCGGAAUUACUGGGCGUAAAGCGCGCGUAGGUGGUUUGUUAAGUUGGAUGUGAAAGCCCCGGGCUCAACCUGGGAACUGCAUUCAAAACUGACAAGCUAGAGUAUGGUAGAGGGUGGUGGAAUUUCCUGUGUAGCGGUGAAAUGCGUAGAUAUAGGAAGGAACGACCACGUGGCGAAGGAC